AAACCAACCGGGAUUGCCUCAGUAACGGCGAGUGAAGCGGCAAGAGCUCAAAUUUGAAAGCUGGCUCCUUCGGGGUCCGCAUUGUAAUUUGCAGAGGAUGCUUCGGGUGCAGCCCCCGUCUAAGUGCCCUGGAACGGGCCGUCAUAGAGGGUGAGAAUCCCGUAUGGGGCGGGGUGUCUGCGUCCGUGUGAAGCUCCUUCGACGAGUCGAGUUGUUUGGGAAUGCAGCUCUAAAUGGGUGGUAAAUUUCAUCUAAAGCUAAAUACUGGCCGGAGACCGAUAGCGCACAAGUAGAGUGAUCGAAAGAUGAAAAGCACUUUGAAAAGAGAGUUAAACAGCACGUGAAAUUGUUGAAAGGGAAGCGCUUGCAACCAGACUCGCUCGCGGGGUUCAGCCGGGCUUCGGCCCGGUGUACUUCCCCGCGGGCGGGCCAGCGUCGGUUUGGGCGGCCGGUCAAAGGCCUCCGGAAUGUAGCGCCCUUCGGGGCGCCUUAUAGCCGGGGGUGCAAUGCGGCCAGCCUGGACCGAGGAACGCGCUUCGGCACGGACGCUGGCAUAAUGGUUGUAAACGAC
rnacentral:rRNA from 1 species